CUCCCGGGCGUCUGCGGCCCCUUCCCCAGGGCGGAAGCGCGCAGCACCCAUUUCUGGGUAACGUAGUUUGCGCGCGCGCGCCACUUCCUGUCCCCACGGCAACGACAAGAGCCUGCGGGAACGCGCCGGGAAUAGAGCCCCAGGUUUCCCAGUAAAGAAAAGCGCCCCAAUUCCUGUGGGCGAGGGGCGAAGCCUCGUCCCCAGGAACUGGCGUCGCGGGACCAGGGGACCUCUCUGUGGCCCGCCGCGACCCGAUGUGUCAGAAACUGCGAACGGGGAUCAGCGCUGGCUUAAGGAUCCUGCCGCGGUGCCCAGGUUUGAGAACCACAGUUCUACCGUGACGAGACUGGGCACUAAGUCUCUCGGAACUUGAAGUGCCUGUCACGCGGUUAGUGCUCAAGAGACAGAGACAGAAUGUGAGUGGGUUAGGGGCAGAGAGAGGGAUCUGAAGCAGAAUCCGAAGCAGGCUCCAGGCUCUGAGCCGUCAACACAGAGCCCAACGUGGGGCUUGAACUUACAAGCCGUGAGAUCAUGACCUGAGGUGAAGUUGGACGCUCAACUGACUGAGCCACCCAGGCGCCCCAAUAUAAUGCUGUUUGUUAACUGCACUGGAGUUAAAAUUUUUUAAAAAGUAAAACAACAAAAAACCCA